rnacentral:tRNA from 1 species
AAGGAGAUUAGGUUAAACAGACCAAGAGCCUUCAAAGCUCUAAGCAAAUAUACUAAUAUUUAUUUCCUG